rnacentral:rRNA from 1 species
GAUGAACGCUGGCGGCGUGCCUAAUACAUGCAAGUCGAGCGAAUGGAUUAAGAGCUUGCUCUUAUGAAGUUAGCGGCGGACGGGUGAGUAACACGUGGGUAACCUGCCCAUAAGACUGGGAUAACUCCGGGAAACCGGGGCUAAUACCGGAUAACAUUUUGAACCGCAUGGUUCGAAAUUGAAAGGCGGCUUCGGCUGUCACUUAUGGAUGGACCCGCGUCGCCAUUAGCUAGUUGGUGAGGUAACGGCUCACCAAGGCAACGAUGCGUAGCCGACCGGAGAGGGUGAUCGGCCACACUGGGACUGGGCCACGGCCCAGACUCCUACGGGAGGCAGCAGUAGGGAAUCUUCCGCAAUGGACGAAAGUCUGACGGAGCAACGCCGCGUGAGUGAUGAAGGCUUUCGGGUCGUAAAACUCUGUUGUUAGGGAAGAACAAGUGCUAGUUGAAUAAGCUGGCACCUUGACGGUACCUAACCAGAAAGCCACGGCUAACUACGUGCCAGCAGCCGCCGUAA